UACGUAGGUGACAAGCGUUGUCCGGAUUUACUGGGCGUAAAGAGCGCGCAGGCGGUCGUCCAAGUCGCGUGUGAAAGCCCCCGGCUCAACUGGGGAGGGUCACGCGAUACUGGUCGACUCGAAGGCAGGAGAGGGUAGUGGAAUUCCCGGUGUAGUGGUGAAAUGCGUAGAUAUCGGGAGGAACACCAGUGGCGAAGGCGACUACCUGGCCUGUUCUUGACGCUGAGGCGCGAAAGCUAGGGGAGCAAACGGGG
rnacentral:rRNA from 1 species